AUGAGUCAGGAGAAGAUGAGCUCCGGCGAGCUGAUCACCGGAGGAGAAACCAGGAUGCAUCAGCGGCGGCAGGCGCAAGGGCAGCCGAGCACCAAGUUGAAGAAGCACAAGCGGCAGAAGCACCUCUACCUGGUGCUGGACGACUGGGACGGAGGCUACACCAUCCGCAAGAUCGACGUCGACGACGACGACUCCAGUAGCCCAGCCCUCAUCCUCAGCGACCACCCUGCCGUACGCCUGGUCUCACCGGCACCAUAUAUUCGCAUGAUCUUCACCUCCAUGGGCACCCACAUCCUCGCGGUGAGCAGCCAGCACCCAGCAACCCUCGCGUACGACACGGCAACCGGGGGCCUUGCCGCCGGCCCUUCCCUGCCGGACGCGCUGCUCCGUGCCGCCAACGUCUUCGUGCCUGCCGCCGAUGCGCUGUGCGCGUUCGCCUACUACUUCAAGACACGGCCUCAGUCCAUCGAGGUGAUGUCCUCCUCCGCCAAGGAUCCGAGCCGUGUGAUCCCAUGCCAGGACUGGUCAUGGAGGAGCGUCGCGCCUUCGCCUUUCGACGUCGACGAAAGGGUAAACUCCUACGCCACGCACCCUGACGGACGCACCGUCUUCGUGUCUGCCUUCCAAGGGCCGUGUCGCCGCACCGGCGGUCCAUGCGCCCGCACCUUCUCCUUCAACACCGGCGACGGCGAAUGGAGGUGCCACGGGGAGUGGGCGUUGCCUUUCAACGGCCAAGGCUACUUCGACGGCGACCUGGAUGCCUGGGUUGGGCUUGACAAGGACGGCCACGUCGGCACCUGCCAGGUAGUCUCCCGUAGCAGCACAGCAGCUGGCGCCACGGCCAUGCAGCAGCAGCUCGACUGGAAGAUGGCCAAGCACAAGCUGUGGAGUGAGGAGCAGCAGGCGGCUGAUCACGGCCCUACUCUCACUGCCAUGGGCAAUGCCAGAUUCUGCCUCGUGGACUGUGUCAAGGGAAUGGAGUUCCAUGGCCGCCUGCUCCGAGUCACCACGUUUCGCCUUAGGCACAGCCGCAAGGGAGAGCUGGAGAUCUUCGACCGUAGCACUAGGUCAUGUCAAGUGUCUAAGCACCUCGGGUCUUUCUCACCCGUUGCGUUCUGGAUGUAG
rnacentral:rRNA from 1 species